rnacentral:rRNA from 1 species
AUUGAACGCUGGCGGCAGGCCUAACACAUGCAAGUCGAGCGGAUGAGAGGAGCUUGCUUCUCGAUUCAGCGGCGGACGGGUGAGUAAUGCCUAGGAAUCUGCCUGGUAGUGGGGGACAACGUUUCGAAAGGAACGCUAAUACCGCAUACGUCCUACGGGAGAAAGCAGGGGACCUUCGGGCCUUGCGCUAUCAGAUGAGCCUAGGUCGGAUUAGGUAGUUGGUGAGGUAAUGGCUCACCCAGGCGACGAUCCGUAACUGGUCUGCGAGGAUGAUCAGUACGACUGGAACUGAGACGCGGUCCAGACUACUACGGGAGGCAGCAGUGGGGAAGAUUGGACAAUGGGCGAAAGCCUGAUCCAGCCAUGCCGCGUGUGUGAAGAAGGUCUUCGGAUUGUAAAGCACUUUAAGUUGGGAGGAAGGGUUGUAGAUUAAUACUCUGCAAUUUUGACGUUACCGACAGAAUAAGCACCGGCUAACUCUGUGCCAGCCGCCGCAGUAAAAC